rnacentral:piRNA from 1 species
UGAACAUUUUGAAGCUUGCUCCUGGU